CAGUCGCCGCGGGAAUACGUAGGGUGCGGGCGUUAAUCGGAAUUACUGGGCGUAAAGCGUGCGCAGGCGGUUUUGUAAGACAGGCGUGAAAUCCCCGGGCUCAACCUGGGAAUGGCGCUUGUGACUGCAAAGCUAGAGUGCGGCAGAGGGGGAUGGAAUUCCGCGUGUAGCAGUGAAAUGCGUAGAUAUGCGGAGGAACACCGAUGGCGAAGGCAAUCCCCUGGGCCUGCACUGACGCUCAUGCACGAAAGCGUGGGGAGCAAACAGGAUUAGAUACCCCGGUAGUCCCUGUCUCUUAUAA
rnacentral:rRNA from 1 species